CAUAAGUGUGCAAAGACCAGCUCUAUGGAGCCAGGAGGGCCAGGCAGUGCAUAACACUGUGGGAGCUUUAGUCCCACUGAUCUUGAUGCAGCCUUGCCUUAUUUAAUGUGCAGUGUGCAAGGCCUGGCACCAUUGUGAUGUGAAGGGGCAAAGGAUGGCACAGCUAAGGCCAGCUGCUGGGAGGAUGCGGAGCCCCUCUGGGGACUUGACACAAGAGUUCUGGAGAGCAAGUAAAGGCCGAGAGUUCUGGAGAGCGAGUAAAGGCCGAGAGAAGGGAAGGUUGGGGAGGAGUCACAGCCUCCAAGGCAGGGAAAUUGGCUGGAAAGAGAGAAACGAGCUUCCUGUAUUGGAAGAAUUUGAAAGCAGAAAAAUGGCUGGUCUCAACAACAUGCAUCCCUAUUCCCGCAGGGGUCUGGUUUGUCUGCAUCCUUGUGGACUCCCAGAGGAUUGAACACUCUCUGCUACAGCCUGCAAUGAUUGUGGUGGCCGUGCAGUUUCUUCCGCACCAGCACCAGGGGGACAGUGAGCUCCUCGAGGGUAGGAGCCAAGGCUGUCUUGUUCCCCGGUCCCAGCAAUGCCUGGCUCCGAGAUGGAGAAUGCACAAUUUACUGAGCUGAAGAGUAAGGACUGGAGAAGUGACGAACACCGGAGGCAGCUAUGUGUCCAGACCACCGCACUGCAGAUGGGGAGGGGACAAGAAGCACCCUUCGCAGAUGUUCCUUGACCUCCACAGGUCUGACCUCCUGAGGCACUGCUCUCUCAUUUGCACAGAGAAGAGUUAUUUAUUUGGGGUGUGUGUGCCAAUUUGCUGGGGCCACAUACAUUAAUGUGCUAUGAGAUCACCCUGGGUGGGAAUUUGAUCAGUUCCAUAUUUUCUAGGAGGCUAACUCUCAGAUGUCUGUCUCUCCUGGCAGCCAUAAACCAUCCCUCCCAUAGCACUUAUAUUACUUGUGAGCAUUUAUGAGGAAUUAACAGUCAGUGAGUCCUUACACGUGGCUGCCAUUCCAGUGAACAACCACAUCCAUUUCCUUUGUUUUGAAACAUGCCUAAAGAAAAAAAUUUUUUUUUCUGGAAAAAUGUUUAUCUAAGUUUUUGUCAUUCAGACAUAUAUCUGCUCAGUUUUUCAGAGAUUUCUCUUGCCUCUCUUCUCCAAUGAAAGCUUUUGGUUCGAGCUAGAUCUGACAGGAUUCAAGCCACCAAGCCCCACGGUCCUUCAUGGAGGACUGGAUGGGGAUGGACAUCAGCGACAUUUGAGAGAAAUUUCUUCAUUAUCAACAAGAGAGUUUGUGUUGGGCAAAAGGGCAAGGGCAGGGCCAAGACUAGGUCCAAUGGCUGCAAUUACUUCAACUCCCAUGUGGAGUCCAACUUGAAACAGUCGGUAGUCAAGGCCUUUCCCUCCACACCUUGACUCCUGGGUUUUUUUCUCUAAGAGUUUCCUUGACCACUCUGCUCCUCUCUGUCCUGUAGGAGCCAUCAGUUGUAGCAUGGUGGUCUGCUGUCACGAGUCCUGUUGAUGGCGAUGAUGAUGGAGAUGACAAUGUCUGAGUGGUUCAGCGAAUGGGUGAUGGUAAGAGAGAGGCUGGGAGUAGAGAAAAUUAAACAUAUAAAGCUGAUCCUGAGAGGAGAAAGGGGAGAAAAAGCCAGAGAGCUGGACGCAGAAAAGCAGGCCAUGGGCUUGGGUGGUUCGUGUCUGUUGGUCAGAUGAGUAUUUAUAGUGGCUGUCUUGUGCUGGACAAGCCAGCAUGGGUCAGCAGGUGAUUUUGGCUGGUGACUCAUCCGUGAAGACAUCGUAAUAGUAAUAGACUGGCAACUGAUGCAGGGCAGUCGGUGAUAUGCCUUGGGGCAAUCAGCGGGGACCUCUCUGAGGAGGUGACAGUGGAACCCACAGUGGGUGUUGGGGUACUGCCGGUUUGGAGCAGAUCCAGUCUUUCCCAGUCAGCACGGCAAGCUGUCUGUGUGUCCCCGGUCUCCUUAUUUUGGAGGUCCAGCUCAGGCUGGGGCUCUUUAAAAAAGAAAGCGGAGUUCUUGCUUUGCCGACCCACUCUGCUCCAGCCUUUGGGGCUCCACUCUGAUCCUUUGUGUUUGCAGGGGAGAGCACUAGCAGCUCUAGGGUAUGUUGGGAGCAAGCACCCGGGGCCUAAAGAGAAACCCAGGGUCACCCUCUCUAAAACCAGGAAGUAGAAAAAACCCAGAAGGAAGGGAAAGGGGUGGGUGUGGGGGUGGAGCUGGAAGGAAGCAGAAGCCCAAAGCCGGUUUUGUUUUUCACGUGCACUCUUUGGCGGAAAUGAUUUAGAACAGACGGAAAGGUGACAAAUUUCAGAGAAAAAAAUCACAACUGACCCAGCCCCCUUCCCUAAGUUGUGCUGUAAAUAUUUGACUAUUUUGAGGUUCUGCUAAAAAUACCUGGGAGACUUUCUCUGUAGUAACUGAAACAAUAAAGACGAACGAGUUAAUUUGGUAAAGCUGAUUUGAAUUGCACAGAAGACAUUGCGCAAGGGCUUGGCGUUUAAACAGUUAUCUGACAUUUAAAAGGAGACGACUGUUAAUGAAUUCAAGAGCUAAUCUUAUUCUCUGACAGAAUGAGCCAUGGAAAAUCCAGGGUUAUUAUCUUGCUGUAAACACAAUGCGAUUCGGUUGAGCUAUCAACAGAAGGGAGCGCUCGGCUGAAUACAAAUGUCCACAGGCUCACGUGGGCUGAACUGAAAGGGGAUGUGCGUUAGAAUUAAGUAAAUAGCUUAUCAUUUCUUUAAGUACUCUCGGGUUGCAAUAUCUGAACUAUAGACUCCUCCUCCCUUGAGAUUCCUUGAAGCAUCACACGCUGCUCUACAAACAGACCUUGGGAUCUCUCACUUUAAAAUGACACUCUGAAUCCAAACAGCUACAGCUCCACCCACGAGUCCCACAGAGUCACCCAAGACAAGGAUCUGUCCUGCGGGGCCUCCUCCUGAUGUCUCCCACUCCUUUCUAAUUGGGGUUCCCCACCUUUGUAGCUGCCGCUUAAUGGCUCCAACAGGAGCUCCUGGCCCUCAUUAAGAAGGCUGCAACGCUCUGGCCGUCUAACCGCCUCACCUCCCACGCAGCUCACAGCUCCGUUCUGCCUAAGAGCCAGUUGCCAAAACUCUCUGGGAACCUGUGGGCAGGCUGAGCUUUGGGGAAAGAACAGGAGGAGGGGGAGAGAGCCUGGAAAGCCAAGACUUGAAGGGUGUUGGGGAACACACCCCACCUUUAUCUUAACGGGUGGGAGGAGGGAGCACAUGCCUUAGUUGAAACCCUGGGAGACCUUUAAGUUGUCCCAUCAAGCCUAUAUGCACCGGGGACAUUUGUCCCCUCCUGUGAGCAAACAAAAGCAAGAAUCCUGAUCACUAAGGCUCCAUGGCCUUAGCCUCCUAUGCUUUGGGAGCUUUGAACCUUUGGUGGGGAAGGGUGAUUCUGUCACUUGGUGUAGAGGAGAAGGGCUGGGAUUUGAACCUCCCUCCCCACAACUAAAUCCUGAAAGAGCCUGACCCGUCAGUUCCCUGAGUUUUGCCUUCUAAGGCCUAGUUGUUUCUUCCACUGGAAGCCUAGGACGGUAAAAUUCAGUAGCACCAGGAACAGGGGCGGGGCCGGGUUGUCCUAGGAACUUUGCAGGCUCCUGGUGAUUGGAUUCUUCCAAAGGAGAGGUCUGUGAUGGCUGCUGUCACUGCAGACACUGCCAACUACCUUCCGCCCAGCCACCCCCAAGUGCUCCUCUUACCUGUCUCUGUUCUGGUCUCCCUGCUUGGGAGAGCAGAGCAGUCUCAUGCACAGAAAGCCACAAAGGAUCAGCAAGAUCUUACCUCAAACUCAGUCUCCCAGGGGACAAAGGGUCUGCAGCCUACUGCUUGUUUCCAUCCAUCAUCCGUGUGCCCAGCAUCCUCACUGGGAUGUGACUCCAUCCCACUCAUCGCUGCCACCUGAGGUCCCACUGCUUUGUAAUGUGUGGGUGUAUGUAUGUAAGUGUAUGUGUAUGUAUGUGUAUGUAUAUGUGAGUAUAUGUAUAUGUAUGCAUAUGUGAAUGUAUGUAGUGCAUGUAUGUAUAUGUGUAUGUAUGUAUAUGUAUGCAUGUAAGUGUAUGUGUAUGUGAGUAUAUGUAAGUGUAUGUGUAUGUGUAUGUGAAUGUAUGUGUAUGUAUAUAUGUAUAUGUAACUGUAUGUAUAUGUAUGUAUGUUUAUGUAUAUAUAUGUGUAUGUAUGUAUAUGUAUGCAUGUAAGUGUAUGUAUGUAAGUGUAUGUGUAUGUGAGUAUAUAUAAGUGUAUGUAUAUAUGAAUGUAUGUAUGUGUAUGCAUGUGUAUGUAUGUUUAUGUAAGUAUAUGAAUGUAUAUGUAUGUGUGUAUGCAUGUGCCUGGCAACAUGUAGGGCAUGGGAUUUUUUUAGGAGCAGUGGGCAGGAUGGAAACAGUUGGCCUUUAGGCAUUAAAAGGGUUCCUUUUUCCCUUCUGUUAAGAAUUUUGGUCCCCAGCACUUUUUUCUGCCCUUCCUUUUUUGGAGAUGGGCUCUCAUAUAUCUCAAGCUGACUUUGAAUUCCCUUCAUAGCUGAGGGUGAACUUGAGUUUCUGCUUCUCUUACCUCUGCUUGCUGAGCGGGGAUUACAGGCGGGUGCCAGCCACCACGCCAGGUUCUGCAGUGGUAAGGAUUGAACCCAGGAUUUCAAGCACACUAGGCAAGCAAGACUCUAGCCCAAGCCCUUCACCUACUUUUCGUAUCUCAAGUCUAUAACAGUUGUUGGCAUUCUCCUCAGUGUUUAUGAAAUUCGCUCACUAGUACUAAGCCCUGGUCUAAGAAACAGAAAUCCAGCAGUUCUAGUCCUUACCUCUGUGAGGGCUAAUUUGGUGCUUUUUUUUUUUUUUUUUUUGGCUAAGUCCCCAAGCUUUCUGUGCCUCAGUUUCUCCACCUACAUAAAAGUGCUCACUUCAUUCUUCUCUAGAUUUUCAGUAAUGAACCACAGGGCACUUUAGCUCCAGGCCUUCCAUUAUCUGGAAGCAAAUCUUAUCCAGGAAUUCUAAUUGAUAUUGUCCUCAAUUUAAUUAAGUGCUUUGUUGACACAACACAAUCAUUGUUUAUCUGGCCUAGCUGGAGCUGGAGGAGAAACCUUUUGAGCCAAAAGAGAAAUCCGCUCUACCCCUGGAGGUGGAGCCCAGUGGUGUCUGUGAGGGGUGUCUAGGGGCGCUCAGGCAGGAACCUCUCUGGAAAUAGAAGGAUGAGGGAGGUGAAACUAGACACUACCUCCCUCCCCAACUCCAGUUCCUUCUAAGUCGGGGCUUAUGUCCCCAACUCGAUUUUACUGGUGUGACUUCUCCACUUUGACAAUUAACAGGGAACCUCAACUUGAUUCUACUUUAAAAGGGUCAUCUUAAAUCAGACACUAGAGAAACAAAGUUACCCAUGGUGCUUUGAGUCCUAGAUCAGGCCAUCAAAGCUUAUAAUUUAGAAAGGCUAUGAAGUUGAGCUAGUCCCAGUAAUGCUGGGACAGAAGGGGGCUGGAGGAAGAAAGCAAACCUGUCCUCACUGUCCUCUCUGCUCCACAGGCUCUAGCUUCUAAAUUGUCGUCAUCCCAACCCAACCCCCCCCCCCCAGCCUUUGCUCUGGUGUAGGGAGCCCAAAGUGUUUAUAGUCCCCAAACUCCCUGCCUCCUUCCUCCCCACAUAAGCUCCAAGUUUCUCUGGUAACAGCUUUCAAGGCAGACAACAGGGGAAUAGCAGUAGUUCUAUUCCUUUGAAAGGCCUCCUGUGCCUAGCGCUGUGCAAAUUCUACUGUUUCACAUAAUCCUUGUGGGACCCCAAAGGGGAAAUGCUCUUUUAUACAGAAGGAAACUGAAUCUCAGGUUAAGGAUACCUGCCUCAGACCACAGCGUCAGGAAGCAAGAAGAGGGGAUCUAAAUGGGCCCCUCAAUCUGCCAGGCCGCUGGGGGGAGGGGGCAGGCCACAUGUGAACAGGGCCCUGGUGGUCCUGACAUCCAUUUCCUUAUGUGUAAAAUGGAGACGAUAACUGCACCCACAAUGGAUUGAGGGAGAUAAUCCUAAGUCCUUCCCAUGAACCUGCACUCUAUUGGCUGCCAUCACUUAUUCAGAAAGAUCCCCUCAAGAUAAUGGGGAGCUAAUCGUUCAAAUUUGUGGGCGGGAGCAUGGAGGUUUGACGUGCUCUUCCCUUCACGUUACAUAUGUUUGAAAUCAUCCAUCAUAAAUAGAAAAAAGAACAAAGCCUUAAGUGGGCAAGUGUUAUGUGUCACCAACAACCAAGAGAUCAGUAAAUACGGAAUUAUUAGAACAAUGAUUGCCACAUAAAUCCAACACAUAAAACUUUGGUUUUGUAAUAAAAAUAAAAUGUAAACCCUUCUAGGAAAUUGUGUUUGAACUGUCUAGGGAUUUUGGGAGUGGACAGAUUUGGGUAGACUUGGGCCAGAAAGGAAUUUUGCUUAGGUUUUCAGAAAUCUUUGAAUCAAGUUUCACAACCAAAGAAAUAUUUAUAAAAAUGAAAGAAGUGGAGAGAGAGAGGGGAAGGAUGUUCCCCCCUCCUUUAACAGGAAAUAAAGAGAGGUAAUUGUUGGUAUCAACGCUAGAAUUCAUGUCUUCAUGAGGAUCUCUAAGGAGGACGCCAAGAGACAGCCCCAGACGUGCCCCUGACGAGGAGUUUUGCCAGAGUAGGAAGACCAAGUCCAAAUGGCCGCUGACAUUCUGUAGCACCGAAGGCUGUAGGAGGUGUGGGAGAACGGGACUCAACUUUGUAAUUGUUAUCAUGGAGGUAAAACGUGGUCACCUGGAAUCCACCUCAAAGGACUGUGGGCUUUACCUAUGAAUUAUGUAUUUCUACAGACUGCGAGUUUUCUAUGACACAAACUUUUUCAUGCUGAUGAAGUAUUUUCAGAGGCUUUCAUGUGAGUUGUGUGAGACAACAGAAUACGAAGAUAAACUAGGUUUAAAGCUUGGAAGCUUAGCUAAAACGUUAACCAGAAGACAAGUUAUGAGAUGGCUUAGUGGGGCCCCGAUAGAAAAGGUUUCUUUCAAACCUUUAUACAAAACACAGUGUGUCUACAGGAACACGUAUGACCUUAUUGUCCCGAAGGAGGAAGGCUAAUAAGAACUUCAAACAGGCCUGAAACAGAUGAGGCACAGUCUUAUUCGACCCAAAUCUCAUCACAGUCCGAAUGAGACAGGCUGCCUUUUGAAAUCCUCAAAUGAUAAACUUAAGACACAUAAGAGCAAAUGCAAAUUCAUGCUAUAGUAAACUCAUGAAACCUAAGCUAGCUAGGACAGGUGGAAAUAGAAAUGGCUCUGUGGCAUGAGGAAGAGGGGCGUCAGUCCAGUUUAAGAAGACUUUUAAGGCAUUGCCAAAGCUCUGAUCUCUACAAGGCAACAACAACAAAAUUCCAGAUCAAAACACCCGAGAAGCAGCGUGUGAGAAAGUGUCCUUCCCCUUCCUAGACUGCAGUUGGCUUGAGCAAGGGAAAUUGAGUAAGGAAAAGACUGGUGAAGCUAUCUAUCUAUCUAUCUAUCAUCCAUCUAUCAUCUAUUUAUCAUCUAUGUAUGUAUGUAUGUAUGUAUGUAUGUAUCUAUCAUCUAAGUAUGUAUGUGUGUGUAUGUAUGUAUGUAUGUAUGUAUGUAUGUAUGUAUCAUCCAUCUAUCUAUCAUCUAUGUGAAGCAGGGUCUUUCUGCAUAGCUCUGGCUGUUCUGAAACUCACUAUGUAGACAAAGCUGGAACUCCGCGAGAUCCACCUGCUUUGGCCUCUCUGGUGCUGGGCUUAGAGGUGUACAUCAUCGAGCCUGGCUUCUUUAUUUUAAAUAGACGGAUGCAGUUAUUCUUGGGAAAUCUAGCUAAGGUUUCAGUUUGUUCUUUGAUAUCCUACUGGCAACCUCUCUGGCUUCUCUGUGAACCAGAGCUUAGAGACUUAUGUGUCCCAUCUACAUAGAACUCAGUGGGCGAGAGAAGUUCAUACCUGAGAUGCAAACCUGAGAAUAAGAGACAAGCUCAUUGACUCUCUGAGUCUCGGAAGGAUAAAGUAUUGAGAGUGUUGAGGCCCUUUGAAGGCAAAUGCUGACGUCCCUAUUUAACUGCACAUCAGUCAGAUUAAUGCUCAUUUGUUAAAAGAACAGUUUUAGGAAACGUCGCUGCUGCUCAGCUGUGCAUGGGCUCCUGCUGGACAUUGCGACUCUGGGCUCAUUUUGUCUUCCCUCAGAUAUAAUGUAUACUUUAAAAAUUAUUUAGUUAGCUGGGUGUGGUAGCGAAUGCCUCUAAUCUCAGCACUUUGGGGACAAAGGCAGAUCUCUGUGAGUCAGAGUGCAUGCAGUGUUGUCCUCAUAGUGAGACCCUGUCCCCCCCCAAAAUUACACUUAUUUACUUAUUUAUUUUUUUUUAAUUUUUCCAUUCAGUGUGCUCAGUUUGGUUUUGAAGUAGAUAACUCCCCUGUUUCAGUCUCCAGCGUCCUGAUAGUACAUGGGCAUGUCACCACCAUCUUGAAAAUUAACAAACUCUUUACCUGUCCUUUUUCAUAGAAUAAAGAAGAAUGGGGGGGGGGGCUGGAGAGAUG